UACGUAGGGGCCAAGCGUUGUCCGGAAUUAUUGGGCGUAAAGAGCUCGUAGGCGGCUAGUCACGUCGGAUGUGAAAACCCGAGGCUCAACCUCGGGCCUGCAUUCGAUACGGGCUGGCUAGAGUACUGCAGGGGAGACUGGAAUUCCUGGUGUAGCGGUGAAAUGCGCAGAUAUCAGGAGGAACACCGGUGGCGAAGGCGGGUCUCUGGGCAGUAACUGACGCUGAGGAGCGAAAGCGUGGGGAGCGAACAGG
rnacentral:rRNA from 1 species